AGAUCUCAUCCUCAUCCAGCUAGCACCGUUAAAGGAUGCAGAACAUCCUUCAUAAAGUCCUGACAGGAGGAAGAGGAGGAGCUUUCUAAUGGGUCCAGUGAAGGUAAUGGCAUUAUCUGCAGAGAGGUGGAGCAUCAUUGGUGAUAGAUGGAGAAAAUACUGGAGAUGGAAGAAGAAGAAACAGUAAGGACUGGGAUGUUUGUCUGAGAAGAUUUAUUAUUAAGAGAAAAGAGGUGAAACAUGAAGAAGCACCAGCCCUCCCUCCUCAUGCUGAUUCCCUGUGAGCGGCCUCCUGAUGUGGACCCAGUCAGUCCCAUACGUGCAGCUGGAGGAAAACACGCUGAUUAAUUCAAAGGAUUUCUUGUAAAUCGGUCGACCCCGGGUCGCCGCCAAAAAGCCCCGUCUCUGCGUGCUGCCCUGCAGGAUACGCCAAGCUCGUUAAUUAAACGACCACUUUAAUUAAGAGGUCAGCGCUAAUCUGGCCUUGUUUUGGUAAAACGCUGUGAAAGGACGGGGAUUUCUGUAAUGUGCAUGCUUAAUGGGAAAAUACAAAAAAGCUGAUUUGCAGGUUUUUCAAUUAUGAGGAAAAGUCAUGAAAGCUCGGUUUGUGCAAAAACAGAAGCAUUAACGUCACAAAAUAUCUGAUUUCAGUUGAUAAAGUUAAUCAUGACUUUGAUUUUUAUUCACCUUAAAUUAACCAAGAAUGAAUGAAGAGAUUCUUAAUCUCAGUCUUUAGCUUUCUGUCCUCCUGUCGCCGUACUCUGGGCCUCGCUCCACCUCCAUGUCCUGCUGCUAUCCUUCCACCUGCAAACACACACGCACGCACGCCCUGUAAAUGUGUGUCGAGCCACAUUCCUGCACUCUCUCCUCAGGCCCUCCCCUCCCUCUCACGUCCCCGGGCCUCAUUCUUCUCCUCCAGGUAAAUAUUGAUCCUCUAAAUUACUUCUCAAGGUCGUCAGUGGCGAGUGGCACAGCGUCACGAUAAGCCUCGCAGCUGUCGGCUGGCGUCACAGGCUGACGGCUCCCGGGGUGAAUGCCAAAGUCUUCGCCGUUGAUACAAAUGUCAAGUCUCAGAAGGAAAGGGUAGCGCUACAGGUGGGAGGGCAUCUGUCGAGGGGCAGAUACUGGGUCUGUACUUAAGUCUGGCGUGUCUCCCGUGUUGUCUCACACCAGGAAACCAUCUCCGGACCGCACACGUCUAUUAAACGAGCUCCGAGGCGCAGCUCGUGUUUUCAUCGACAUUUUAUAGAGCUGUUAAACACGGCCACAAACACCCAGGUGUCCCGCUGGAUUUCACUGCGCUUUAUUGUUCGGUAUCUGCCUCAGGCACCCAUUAAAAAUACAACAGAAGACACGCAGGGCAUAAAUACAUAAGCACAUAAAAUAUAUAGCAAUGAUCACAGGGUGCGAGGAUGAUCUGGGGGUGGGAAUAUUUUUAUUUUAGCGUCUAAACAAAGGCCUGAAACUUCCUGAUUAUUUUAAUUGUGACUGAUCUGCACAUUAUCUCCUUGAUUAAUUGUUGGGUCAUCAAAAACCAUCAAGCGGCUUGAUGUUAAACCCUCUCGUGCAAAAUCAGAACCAUAAUUAGGAUAAAAUACGAAGUGAAAAGGAGGGAUUGAAGCCAGGCCAGAUUUAGAAUCGCUCACAUCUGUGCAAGCAAAACAUGCUCCAACGAAAUGAUCGUAUCUUCUGUUCACUCCCAUGUUGGAGCUCAAGAACCACAUACAGAAGUGUGCUCAUUUCUAAAGUCUGUGUCUGGAGUGUAGACGUCGGAAAUAUAGAUAUAACUGGCUCUGAAGAAGCGCUUUAACCUGCAUUCUUUUCAAUGGCCAGCAGGGGGCAACAACUCGUGAUGGAUGAGUGUGGGAGUUUUAUUAUUCUUUGGCUAACUGAUAAAAGAACUCAUAUUUACCGUGUAUGUAAACUGUAUUUUGUUAUACUUAGUGUUUUGCGGCAUUAAAUUAUAAACACAGCACUUUAAAUAAAAUUCAGCGUGAAUUUAGACGAGACGUUUACCAGUCUGACGAUCACAGAGUCAUGUCUUGAACUAGUUCUGCGAUUUACUUUACUGUCUUUGAACUUGAGCUGAUGACUGGAAUCGCCCCCAAAAAUGUAUUUUGAUCUUCAGUUUAUGUCAAUGUGAUUCACUUCUUGUGUCUGAUUUAGUUUCCAGACAAGCCUGGAAAUGUGCAAACGAAGAACUUCCCAGGUCAGGUACUGCUCUCUGACCUGCACACACUGCUGUUACGUACGCUUCAACAUUAUAAGUCAGCCAGCUUCACUUGGUUUUGAUCAGACUUUUCUGUGGACAGGUGGACCUCGUCCCUUUAGGCAGACAUGAGAUAACCUGCUGACAUUUAAGCAGCUGUGAAUGUUUGUUGGUUUGUUGCCAUUUAGAUUUACUGAGACGGUCAUAAAAGAGAAAAUAUCCAGCGAGCGGCAGUUCUCUGGGAGAAGAUGCCUUGUUGGUGAUGCCAAAGGUCAGAGGAGAAUAGCCAGACUGCCAACAGUAACUCAAAUACUCAUUUCUUACGAAUGAGUUUCGGGAAGUGACAGGAAGUCAGCCAUGUUUUUUUAGUUCCUAGCGGAUCACAUGUGGGGAAAUUUGAUCCAGCGACAUCUGCCUUUUGUUUGUGCCAUCGACGCCACCGUCUUUUUACUCCAUGAGGAAAUACUUACUAAUUAAAAGGAGUUGGACGCUACAUCCUGACUUCGCGCGUUAUUUCAAGUGGAGUUAGGCUACUGCUGAAUUGUGUAGCAUACACACACAAGGAGAGCAGGAUAGUAAAAAGACGGUUAGCAGCUGGCAAAAAAACUCUACGACAGCAAGCUAUGUCAA